rnacentral:lncRNA from 1 species
CUACUGUAAUCGAAGUCAGGUCGGAAUGACAAAGGUUAGUGAGACAAGUCUCACAUCUCCUGGUGAUCUUGGGCUGUGUGUGUGUUUAAGUCUGACGAGAAUGUCAGGGCCUAAACGGGGGGAGUCUGUGACACCCCAAUAGUCCCACAUCGGAUAGAUAUGACUAGGUGUGUGAGUAUAUAAGCUUGAUUGAGCUAGACAUAAAAACUGGGCUUAAGCAUUUUGGGCUAGUGGUUAGGGCUCAACUAGUUAUUAUUGCUAGUGGAUUGUGUCGUUACAUUUAGUAUCAGAGCCAGUUCACCAGCCAGAAGUGUGAGAUGAGUCUUGGCCGAGUCAGGGUCAAACAAACUAAGCUAGAGUCGGGCCCAACUAGUUAUUAUUGCUAGUGGAUCGGAUCGUUACAGUUGUUGAGAAUCAAAUCAAAUAAAUUGAAAUGUUGAGCAGCUAAAAUCGAAAUUUCUGAAUUGUUGGAUAGUGGAUUCAAAAUGAUCGAUUGAUUAGAUAAGUUAUUCUUGAAUAACUUAUUUCGACUUCCAAACAAUGAAUGUCGCAUGAAUUUCUCAACACAUUAAUAGUUGUAAGGAGUUUCAUUUUUGUUCUUUACGAUUUUGUUUUGAAGUUAGAAUAAGUUAAUCAAGUAUAACUUAUUUGAUUUAAGAAAUUUUUUUUAGUAUGAUUAUAAGAAAUGGGUUUCAUUUUUGCUCCUUGAAAGGUUUUGAUAUAUUCAAAAUAUGAUAGAAUAUCAUAUUUCAGCUAUAAGAUAAUUUAUCUUAUCUAAAAAAAUAAUUUGAGAGCCGAAGACGUUAUCUGAUGCUAAAUGUUUGAUGACAAUCAUUAUCUACUAAGUGUAGAAACUUCUUAAAUAAAUUAUUAAGAUGUAUCGAACAAAAUAUUCAUAUAUCUAAAUAGGACCUAAAAUAUCUUGCUUUUUAUGAUUUAUUAGGAUAGCA